UAAGAAGGCUUAUGAGAUCGGCCAUUGGCAAAACCAUCUGGGAGGAUAUAGGGAACCGCAGAUGAUUCAAAGACUGAUUUGCUUGGCUCCUUUGUGUCAACCUUUGAAAAGAUGGAAUCCUUUGGGAAUUCAAACCGAUCCACAUAUACGUAAGCACACCAAGUUAUGGCGUUCUCUCCAAAGCCGCAAUAAAAAAGUUUGAAAAAUUAGGAUGUUUUUGGUGCCGAUAGAGAGCAGUCGGC
rnacentral:lncRNA from 1 species